GACGAACGCUGGCGGCGUGCUUAACACAUGCAAGUCGAACGGAAAGGCCCUGCUUUUGUGGGGUGCUCGAGUGGCGAACGGGUGAGUAACACGUGAGUAACCUGCCCUUGACUUUGGGAUAACUUCAGGAAACUGGGGCUAAUACCGGAUAGGAGCUCCUGCUGCAUGGUGGGGGUUGGAAAGUUUCGGCGGUUGGGGAUGGACUCGCGGCUUAUCAGCUUGUUGGUGGGGUAGUGGCUUACCAAGGCUUUGACGGGUAGCCGGCCUGAGAGGGUGACCGGCCACAUUGGGACUGAGAUACGGCCCAGACUCCCACGGGAGGCAGCAGUGGGGAAUAUUGCACAAUGGGCGGAAGCCUGAUGCAGCAACGCCGCGUGCGGGAUGACGGCCUUCGGGUUGUAAACCGCUUUCGCCUGUGACGAAGCGUGAGUGACGGUAAUGGGUAAAGAAGCACCGGCUAACUACGUGCCAGCAGCCGCGGUGAUACGUAGGGUGCGAGCGUUGUCCGGAUUUAUUGGGCGUAAAGGGCUCGUAGGUGGUUGAUCGCGUCGGAAGUGUAAUCUUGGGGCUUAACCCUGAGCGUGCUUUCGAUACGGGUUGACUUGAGGAAGGUAGGGGAGAAUGGAAUUCCUGGUGGAGCGGUGGAAUGCGCAGAUAUCAGGAGGAACACCAGUGGCGAAGGCGGUUCUCUGGGCCUUUCCUGACGCUGAGGAGCGAAAGCGUGGGGAGCGAACAGGCUUAGAUACCCUGGUAGUCCACGCUGUAAACGGUGGGUACUAGGUGUGGGGUCCAUUCCACGGGUUCCGUGCCGUAGCUAACGCUUUAAGUACCCCGCCUGGGGAGUACGGCCGCAAGGCUAAAACUCAAAGGAAUUGACGGGGCCCCGCACAAGCGGCGGAGCAUGCGGAUUAAUUCGAUGCAACGCGUAGAACCUUACCUGGGUUUGACAUGGAUCGGGAGCGCUCAGAGAUGGGUGUGCCUCUUUUGGGGUCGGUUCACAGGUGGUGCAUGGCUGUCGUCAGCUCGUGUCGUGAGAUGUUGGGUUAAGUCCCGCAACGAGCGCAACCCUUGUUCACUGUUGCCAGCACGUUAUGGUGGGGACUCAGUGGAGACCGCCGGGGUCAACUCGGAGGAAGGUGGGGAUGACGUCAAGUCAUCAUGCCCCUUAUGUCCAGGGCUUCACGCAUGCUACAAUGGCUGGUACAGAGAGUGGCGAGCCUGUGAGGGUGAGCGAAUCUCGGAAAGCCGGUCUCAGUUCGGAUUGGGGUCUGCAACUCGACCUCAUGAAGUCGGAGUCGCUAGUAAUCGCAGAUCAGCAACGCUGCGGUGAAUACGUUCCCGGG
rnacentral:rRNA from 1 species